CUACGGGAUGCAGCAGUUAGGGAUAUUCGGCAAUGGGGGAAACCCUGACCGAGCAAUGCCGCGUGAACGAAGAAGUAUUUCGAUAUGUAAAGUUCUGUUGUUAAGGAAGAAAGGUGUAUAUAGGGAAUGAUAUACAUAAGACGGUACUUAACGAGGAAGCCCCUGCUAACUACGUGCCAGCAGCAGCGGUAAUACGUAGGGGGCGAGCGUUAUCCGGAAUUAUUGGGCGUAAAGGGUGCGUAGGCGGCACAUUAAGUCUGAGUUGAAAGCCCACGGCUUAACCGUGGAGGGUGCUUGGAAACUAAUGUGCUUGAAUCCAGAAGAGGCAAGUGGAAUUCUAUGUGGAGCGGUGGAAUGCGUAGAUAUAUGGAGGAACACCAGUGGCGAAGGCGGCUUGCUGGGCUGGUAUUGACGCUGAGGCACGAAAGCGUGGGGAGCAAACAGGAUUAGAUACCCUUGUAGUC
rnacentral:rRNA from 1 species